CCUACGGGAGGCAGCAGUGGGGAAUCUUGCGCAAUGGGCGAAAGCCUGACGCAGCAACGCCGCGUGCGGGAUGAAGGCCUUCGGGCUGUAAACCGCUUUCAGCAGGAACGAAAAUGACGGUACCUGCAGAAGAAGGAGCGGCCAACUACGUGCCAGCAGCCGCGGUGACACGUAGGCUCCAAGCGUUGUCCGGAUUUAUUGGGCGUAAAGAGCUCGUAGGCGGUCUAGUAAGUCGGGUGUGAAAACUCUGGGCUCAACCCAGAGACGCCAUCCGAUACUGCUGUGACUUGAGUUCAGGAGGGGAGCGGGGAAUUCCUAGUGUAGCGGUGAAAUGCGCAGAUAUUAGGAGGAACACCGGUGGCGAAGGCGCCGCUCUGGACUGAAACUGACGCUGAGGAGCGAAAGCAUGGGUAGCAAACAGGAUUAGAUACCCUGGUAGUCCAUGCCGUAAACGGUGGGCACUAGGUGUGGGUUUCAACUAACGAAAUCCGCGCCGUCGCUAACGCAUUAAGUGCCCCGCCUCGGGGAGUACGGUCGCAAGACUAAAACUCAAAGGAAAUUAGACGGCUGAGACGNGCGACGACGACGACGAGGGAGGAGG
rnacentral:rRNA from 1 species